GACGAACGCUGGCGGCGUGCUUAACACAUGCAAGUCGAGCGGUAAGGCCCUUUCGGGGGUACACGAGCGGCGAACGGGUGAGUAACACGUGGGUGACCUGCCCUCAGCUCUGGGAUAAGCCUGGGAAACUGGGUCUAAUACUGGAUAUGACUCCACGGUGCAUGUCGUGGGGUGAAAGCCUUGUGCGGCUGAGGAUGGGCCCGCGGCCUAUCAGCUUGUUGGGGGGUGA
rnacentral:rRNA from 1 species